GCAAGUCGAACGAACCAAUCAUUAAUAGCAAUAUCGAUGUGCGGUAAGUGGCGAACGGGUGAGUAACCCCUAAAUAAUCUCCCUUUCAAACGGGGACAACGCAGGGAAACUUGUGCUAAUACCCGAUGAGACUACGUUAUGGGAAUAAUGUAGCCAAAGGGGGGCUUCGGCUCUUGCUGGAAGAUGAGUCUAUGUUCUAUCAGCUAGUUGGUGGGGUAAGAGCCUACCAAGGCUAAGACGGAUAGCCGGCCUGAGAGGGUGAAC
rnacentral:rRNA from 1 species